rnacentral:lncRNA from 1 species
UGCCACCUCCACACCCUCCCUCUCUUUCCUUUCCCACAAUUAAGCCUUGCUGUACCAUCAUCUCCCUCUCACCUCAUUUGCCUUGGGUUGAACCCCUGUCAGUGGCCUUUGUGGCCCUGGCACUUAGCACAGCGACUGGCACAGGGUGGAUUCUACUUUUUUUAAACCCUUACUUCCCAUCUUAGAGUAAAUACUGUGUAUUGGUUCCAAGGCAGAAGAGUGGUAAAGGCUAGGCAAUGGGGAUUUGAACCCAGGACUGCCUGGCUCUCCAACUACUGAGUCACUUAGCUUACCCCCAGAGUAGAAUUCUUAAUGUUUUUUAGCUGGCAUGGCCUCCACUGGAGACCCCUAGGAAAGGAGGCAGCAGGAUCCAGAGCAGUGUCUGAGAGAGCCCGGGCAGGGGUACGUCUGGAGUCUCUGUCUGGAUAGUACUCAGACCCCAUGAACACUUUGCUGGUAACCUCUAUGUCGUUGCCACUGUUUGGGUUCAUGGGGGCCAAGUCAUGGCCAAGAGAAGCUCUUCCUGGGAAGUAGGGAGAGGAUCUGGGACUGGGGGACAGGAAGACGGAGGCUGCCCUGGGAAGGAGGCAAGUCCCCUGGCUUGGGGACGGGAGAGGUGGCCUGGCAGAUUUUAGACGAUCAAGCUUCAAUGAGAUAUUUAUGACCUAGGAGGAGAGGGGUUACAGAAUGCCAUCAAGAAAGGCAGUGAUGGCUUCCAGGCCUUACAUGUGUUCCUGUCAUGCCAGGAGAUGGUCCCCUGCAUCCCUCGGUGUAUCUUUCUUGGUGUACCAGUCCUCGGCCAUCAAAAUCCCCAUAGCAACCAGAACCAGAGAAGCCAGGCCAACUCGGAUGAUUUGGCCAAGGGUAUGCGAGUCGGAAUAUAAGUCUGGAGAGACAAAAGAGCCCUGGAGAGUUAGAAAAGACAGCUCCGGGCUGCUGGUGACCCUCGAGGAGGCCCCCUUCUCCCCAGACUGGGCCAGCUUCCCCAAAGUUUCCAGCCACAACUGGUUCUUGAGCCAAGCGGAGCAUGCCUGAUCCCUCCUUCACACGUCCUGCAAAUGCUCAGAGAUAGCUUUUCUUCCCCAGGCUAAAAAUCCCCAAUUCCUUCAGCUGAUCCCCAUUUAUCAAGUUCUUUUACCAUCCAGGCCAUCCUCCUCUGGACACUGUUCACUUCUUAAACUGUGGCAACCACACGUGACACAGCCCUCAAAUUGGUCUGACCAGGGCAUGGCAGACCCACUCCCCUUCUUUGGGACACCAUGUCUAGAUACGAUAGCCCUAAUAUUGUCUUCACUCUCUUAAUGUCCUGCCAUACUCCUAACUCAUUUUGGGCUUGUGGUCCACCAGAAACCCCAAAUCUUGAUCUCCCCAAAAGGAAUAAGCAUCCAAGCAACAUGUCCUCCCAUUUUUUUUUAACCCUUACCUUCUGUCUUGGUUUCAAUUCUAAGACAAGAGCAGCAAGGGUUACGCAAUCAGGAUGAAGUGACUUACCUAAGGUCACACAGCUGGGAAAUGUCUGAGGCAAGAUUUGAACCCAGAUUCCCCCAACUCCCAGUCUGGUGCUCUAUCCCUUGUACUACCUAGCUGCCCAAUAUUAAACAGCCUUAUAAAAUUGAUGUGUUUUCUUUGAAGUACAUAGCACAGGCCACCUAGGCAUACAUCUCUUCUAAACAAUAUCUCUAGCAGCCAGAGGGAUAACUAUGGGGUCAGGAAGACCUAGAACUUCUGUUCUUGGUGCUUACUUACUAGCUGUGUGACUGUAGGCAAGCCAAACGCCCUCUCUGUUCCCUAGGCAACUCUGUAAGAGUGUAAGUCACAAACUGCAUAUCUGUACCACUGGAAGGCAUUGCUGUACACUGGGAAGGAGUUCUCCCCCCAGGAAAAUUACAGGUUUAGAUAUCCAUCCCUCCCCAAGCUCCAAAUCUUUAAAGGGAGCGCUCAUUGUUUCAACCUGUCUAGAUCUCUUGGGAUCUUAUCUGCCAUGCUAAGCAUUAAGCAUCCCUCUGAGUCUUGAGGCACCCACAAGCUUGAGAAAGAAUACCUUCUAUCCAAGCCAUGCUGGAAUGUCAAACAGGACCACAGCAAGAUCCCCCCGGGCGGCCCAUUACAGAGCAACUUGAAGCUGACAUUUAUCCAUGCCUGACUACUUUCUAAGUCUGCUCAGUCAUUCCUCCUGAAGCCAUGGGGCUGCCUUGUCAUCCAGACCCUCUUUCUCCACCUUGCCCAUGGAAUGGAAGAAGCCACCAAAUCAAAAGCUUUCCUGAUCUCCAGGGACACCCAGCCUAGGUCAUUGCCCUGAUCUAGAGGCUACGAAUCUCGCCAAAAAAAGAGAUGAGCUAAGUAUGGCACGACCUGGUGAUUCACUCAUCCUGGCCCUUGGUGAUCACUCCUCCCUUCUAUGUGUCCUCACAAAGCACACUUUUCACAACACAUUCUAGAACUUUGCAAGAAGGUUCCAGGCCCACCUGGUGCCCUCCCACAUUCCUGCUCCCCCUCUGGUCCUCUCUAUAUGAUAGCUGAUUGUUCUUCAUCCCUGUUCUAGCAUCCCUUUUCAGUGAUCUGUUUUAUGGUCAUCUUUUGUUUUCUCUGCCAAGGCAAUUAGAAAAAAUAAAUGAUGAUGACCAAUGGGAAGUUGGGGUCCA